AGAGUUUGAUCCUGGCUCAGGAUGAACGCUAGCUACAGGCUUAACACAUGCAAGUCGAGGGGAAACGACAUCGAAAGCUUGCUUUUGAUGGGCGUCGACCGGCGCACGGGUGAGUAACGCGUAUCCAACCUGCCCAUCACUUGGGAAUAACCUUGCGAAAGUAAGACUAAUACCCAAUGACAUCCAUAGAAGACAUCUGAAAUGGAUUAAAGAUUUAUCGGUGAUGGAUGGGGAUGCGUCUGAUUAGCUUGUUGGCGGGGUAACGGCCCACCAAGGCGACGAUCAGUAGGGGUUCUGAGAGGAAGGUCCCCCACAUUGGAACUGAGACACGGUCCAAACUCCUACGGGAGGCAGCAGUGAGGAAUAUUGGUCAAUGGGCGAGAGCCUGAACCAGCCAAGUAGCGUGCAGGAUGACGGCCCUAUGGGUUGUAAACUGCUUUUAUAAGGGAAUAAAGUGAGUCUCGUGAGACUUUUUGCAUGUACCUUAUGAAUAAGGACCGGCUAAUUCCGUGCCAGCAGCCGCGGUAAUACGGAAGGUCCGGGCGUUAUCCGGAUUUAUUGGGUUUAAAGGGAGCGUAGGCCGGAGAUUAAGCGUGUUGUGAAAUGUAGAGGCUCAACCUCUGCACUGCAGCGCGAACUGGUCUUCUUGAGUACGCACAACGUGGGCGGAAUUCGUGGUGUAGCGGUGAAAUGCUUAGAUAUCACGAAGAACUCCGAUUGCGAAGGCAGCUCACGGGAGCGCAACUGACGCUGAAGCUCGAAAGUGCGGGUAUCGAACAGGAUUAGAUACCCUGGUAGUCCGCACGGUAAACGAUGGAUGCCCGCUGUUGGUCUGAAUAGGUCAGCGGCCAAGCGAAAGCAUUAAGCAUCCCACCUGGGGAGUACGCCGGCAACGGUGAAACUCAAAGGAAUUGACGGGGACCCGCACAAGCGGUGGAGCAUGUGGUUUAAUUCGAAGCAACGCGAAGAACCUUACCAAGUCUUGACAUCCUUCUGACCGGUACUUAACCGUACCUUCUCUUCGGAGCAGGAGUGACAGGUGGUGCAUGGUUGUCGUCAGCUCGUGUCGUGAGAUGUUGGGUUAAGUCCCGCAACGAGCGCAACCCUUAUCUUUAGUAGCCAGCGGUUUGGCCGGGCACUCUAGAGAGACUGCCAGGGAUAACCUGGAGGAAGGCGGGGAUGACGUCAAAUCAUCAUGCCCCUUAUGACUUGGGCUACACACGUGCUACAAUGGCGUAAACAAAGGGAAGCAAAGCUGUGAAGCCGAGCAAAUCUCAAAAAUAACGUCUCAGUUCGGACUGUAGUCUGCAACCCGACUACACGAAGCUGGAAUCACUAGUAAUCGCAGAUCAGAAUGCUGCGGUGAA
rnacentral:rRNA from 1 species